rnacentral:rRNA from 1 species
UACGUAGGGCGCAAGCGUUGUCCGGAAUUAUUGGGCGUAAAGAGCUCGUAGGUGGUCUGUCGCGUCUGCCGUGAAAACCCGAGGCUUAACCUCGUGGCUUGCGGUGGAUACGGGCAGACUAGAGGUAGGUAGGGGAGAAUGGAAUUCCCGGUGUAGCGGUGAAAUGCGCAGAUAUCGGGAGGAACACCGGUGGCGAAGGCGGUUCUCUGGGCCGAUACUGACGCUGAGGAGCGAAAGCGUGGGGAGCGAACAGG